CUUAGAAGACUGGCAAUGUAGUUGAUUUUAUCCGUGUCAAUCGACCGUGUUGGAGAGAUAGCAAGAUACUUUAUGAUAAGCAUACACUAGAUGACAUGAAUUGAUUGCUUGUAUAUAUCCCAAAAAAAGUUCUAUUCGGCCGUUCGACAUAGUAGAGAAGUAGCAACUUGAGAACUUGAAGCUGACUAAUUUGUGCUAUGAUAAUGUAAGAAAGAUUUCACUACUCUAAUGGAUCGUGUUGGGAACAUAGCCAGUUGUUUAUACGUUAAUCACAUGCUAGAUGGCAUGAAUUAAUUGUUGAUAAUGACUAGAAUUAGCAGAGAGUUAUUUCCCUCGAUGAGGCAACACAAAAAGAAAAAAAUAGUAAUUGAGAACUUAAAUGGACUAGUUUUUGCUAUGAUAUGUAGAAAAUAUUACAUUUAUCUGUGUAAAAAAGUUGGCUUGGCAAUAGGCUUCAACUGCUUAGAGUGGAUUAUUGCAUAUGGGUGUCUUAUUGUGGGGUUAGGGUUUACUCUACCUUCUGUCCUCAAGGUUUAGUUUUGCUUAUUUAAGAUGGGCGAAAAUUAUAACUGAUGUUUAGUCACCAAGGAAGUUGAUUGACUCAUGUUAGCGAACAAUCUCCAAUGUGUUGUACGUGAAUAAAAUUACCAUGGUAUUUAUGAUUUAUUAUUUAAACAUGCAUGUGCAUAUCUUUUUUUCGGUAAAUAAGUUUUUUUUUUUUUUUUUUUUUAAGAAGGAAGAUAUGUACAUACAAACCAGCAACCUUACAUGAUAAUCAGAGAUCAAAUGAAAAUGUAAACAACAUUCUACCCAUCCCUACUCAAUCCCAGAACUACAUCAGACAUACUACUACUGCUACCUUGCUACAUUUCUAUGGAUAAGAGUCCAUAUCCUUCAACACCCUAGCAGUUCUUGCAUUGUUGAUUCCUCUACAAUGGACAUCCCUUACAAUUGCCCUGCUCAGCACCUCAAUUCCCUUUUGUUUGUUUUGAAAGAGGCGUGCCAUUCCUUUCUUGCCAAACUGCAUACACACAACAGGCCAGCACCAUUCCAAACACCUGGGCUUUUCAGAUCUCCCUGUUGCAUUCCUUGUAGCCCACUCAAGCUCCUUAGACCACUGCAGAGGUGCUCUUUGGAUCUGCUACCACUUUAACAUUUUCCUCUAUAAGUUUCUGAAAAUCUGCACUGAAAGAAUAGGUGAUCUCUAGUCUCCUCAGCAUCAUCACACAGUGGGCAAGUAGUGAUAUUAGUGAUCUUCCAUUUUGCAAGUCUGUCUCUAGUAUAGAGUCGUUACAGAGCUACCAGAGUCAAGUUAAAUAUCCACUUGGGGCACCCAACAUUGUUACAAACAAGCCUUCUCCAGCUGACCUUAGGCAGGCUAUCCUUUAUGGCAUUGUAUAUGGACUUGAUUUUGAACUCCGGAAGCUGCUGAAAUUCCAUCUGUGUGUAGCCAGCUUUAGCCACUGUCUCCUUAGCCUUGAGAAUCUUCUUGAUUAUCCAAGCAACCUAGUCGGGGUUAGCUUCCUCAAUGGAUUGAUUUUUAAUGUAGUAAGUGUGAAAAAUGUAUUAAGUCUGAAUCCAUUGGAUCCAAAACCUAUCCUUUUCUUGCAAAGAUUCCAAUAAUUUUUACAUAUGACUUCUUGUUCCAUUUCAGUAUGUCUGUAACAUUAAACCCACCAGCACACUUACAUAUGGCUGCAUUUGCGUAUCUAAUAUAACACAAGGUGGGAUAAAAGGACUCUAACACAAAAGUCGUAAUGCACAAUAAAAUCUAAAUGUGUGCAAUGUAGAUCAUUGAACGAUUUGUGAUAGGGUGUGUUUUACCAUAGUGAUGACUGAAGGGAGAAUUUAUUUCUGAAGCUGUUUUAAAAUUGACUUUUUCUUCUAUUUGGUUCAGAAGACAGAGAUUUAAGAAUUUAAUGGCCAUAGCACUUUUUUUUUUCGAAACUGGUAACAUUUGUAUUGAAUUCAGUACUUGGGUUGUCCUGGAGAAACCAUAUUUACAAAAAAGGAAGAAAGAAAGAAAAAAACUUCCAAAACUGAGCCUACGAUACUAGAUAAAACCUAAAGCAUCUAGAAUUGUCUCUGUCUCAUUAGGGAAAACUUUGUACACCAAAAGCAGAACAACAAAACACAGUUAAGCUUAAUCUUCUAAACGUUGCUACUCCUAUUUUCAAAACAUUUGUCAUUUCUUUCCUUCCAUAUAGUCCACCAAAUACAAGCAGGAAUGAUCCUCCAUCUAUCUCUAUUUUUAGAACCAAAUCCAGCUUCCUCCCAACUGAAAAGAGUGUCACCAAUCUUACUAGGCAUUGUCCAUGAGAUGCCUCUGAGAUUGAUAAAAAUUUGCCACAGUUGGUUAGUUACUUUGCAGUAUAGGAAAAGGUGUCUAACUGUCUCAGUAUCCCUACCACAUAAGAAACACCUAUUGCAUAAGGGGAUUCCCUUCUUUGCUAGAUGGUCAAGAGUUAGAACAUCCUCAUUAGUUAGGAGCCAAGUGAAACAUGCCACUUUAUAUGGCACUUUAACUCUCCAAAUAUGUUUCCAAGGCCAGUUGGUAAUCUGAGGUUCAACUUGAUUUGGCUUGUUUUAGCCUUCCUUCACCUUAUAUAUACCUUUGGUAUUCUCAUUCCACCAUAAACAGUCCUCUCCACUCUGUACUCCAUGGAAACUUUCUAGAUGCUUGUACAAUUCAACCACUCUCGGAUCUCCUAAUCAUUCAGAUGUCUUCUAAGUACCAAAUCUCAUCCUUGUUGUGUCCACAUUUCAGCUACUGUCUUGUGUUAGCGCCGGGACAGAGCAUAAAUAUUAGAAAAAGUGCCUUGUACGCUGUCAGAAUCCAUCCACUUGUCUUUCCAGAAACGAGUCUUUUUUCCAUUGUGGACCUUGAUAUUAGACUGACUUUUGAGGAAUGUCCAGAAGAACCUGAUGGUUCUCCAAAGGCUAACACCAUAAGGAGUAGUGACUUCUAUAGUUACCCAAUUGUCCAUCUCCCCAUAUUUGGUUUUGCCUAUGUACAAAAGGGAAGAGCUUAGGUAUAUAUAAAUAUCAAAGAAACUGCAUAAUUAUAAAGUGUGUGCUCCUAUUUAAGUUGAAUUUAGAUAAGUUCCUUGAGUUGAGAUUCAGUUUUCUAUGCAAGUGUUUAGAGUAAUGUAAAACACAUGUUGUCUUUACUAUGUUGUUAUACCAAAUCUGAAUAUGCCGGCUUCAGAGUUUGGAUUUUGCGAGCAUUUCACUUAAAUGAAGGGAUUGGGCAUAUGGAUAAAUGCAAGCAGUUUGUAGUCUAUUUGUUCAAUCUUUCUGUCUUAGAGCAAACGCCCAUUCAAGAAAUGACUAAAAUGAUUCUGGUGAACAUUAGCCAUUUCUAGUUCUCCGUCUCUGCUCAUUUCUACGGUGCUCUUGUUCUAGAUUCACCCCUCGGAUUGAAGGGCCAAAAGCUGAUCAGUGCAUGGAGAGUGGAGAACCUUAGAGCCCAAAGGGAUAGGAAGCUGAAAGGUAUGGUAGGGACAAGAUCAUGAGGAUCUGGCAAGCUAAAAGAAAAGGAGCUUUUUUUUUCUCGGAAGAAUGUCUAACUUUUCCCAGUUUUUCUUACCAAAGAUCAUGAAUGACUUGUGUUAUGGAAUCCAAAUAAGAAAAGAUUAUCUUGUUCAUCAUUUAUACUUUAAAAUAUUAUGGGCAAAUGGGCAACAGAAAG